rfam:Bacteria symbiont BFo1 of Frankliniella occidentalis strain BFo1 contig208, whole genome shotgun sequence.
AUCAGGGGGCGAGUAAGCCAAAAAAGAGUGAGCCGGCGGCGCAGGGUGCGCGGCCGGCAAGC